rnacentral:rRNA from 1 species
UCUAAUGAGCCGGACCAAGUAGCCUGGAACCUUAGGAAGAGCAAACGCUUCACAACUAAAUCCGUGUAUACAUACUUGGAAAGGCAUCUUGCUGGAUGUGAUUAUAGAUGGGUUUGGAAAGCUAAACUUCCUCUUAAGAUUCAAAUUUUCUUUUGGCAAUUAUUUCAGGAUGCUGUAUUGACACGAGAUGUCAUGAAAAGAUGAAACUGGACUGAUAACCCGAAAUGUUCCUUCUAUAUGGAUAGAGAAACCUCGCAACAUCUGUUCUUCACCUGCCCAGUUGCUAGGGUAGUCUGGAGAACCAUUGGGUGUGUCCUUGGCACGAAUAUAUAUGUGCCCUGA